rnacentral:lncRNA from 1 species
UAACAUGAGAAGUAAAUUAAAUAAGUUCAAUGCAGCCUAAAUGCCCGAAUAAAUAAUGUUUUCCAAAUUAAUUAAGCACAACGAUGGACGAGAUGUUGUAGAAAAUGGUAAAGGGAUUAGUAGUGAUAUAGUGAGAGACAUGUAUGUUAUGGAAAGAGUAUGAGAAGGGUAAAAUGGAAAAAUAGUAGAUUUAAGUUGAAUUAAGUCUAUGAUAGUAUUGGGGAUUGUGUCUAAAAAGAAAACGAGUCAAAUGUCCAAUAAAACUUAACUCAUCAAGUUGUCUAGUGUAAAUCCAGUUCAUUGAUUUCUUU